rnacentral:rRNA from 1 species
UACGUAGGGUGCAAGCGUUGUCCGGAAUCACUGGGCGUAAAGGGCGCGUAGGCGGCUCAUGAAGGCUGUGGUGAAAGUCCGGGGCUCAACCUCGGAUCGGCCGUGGCGACUCGUGGGCUGGAGCACUGUAGAGGCGGGUGGAAUUCCGGGUGUAGAGGUGAAAUGCAUAGAGAUCCGGAAGAACACCGACGGCGAAGGCAGCGUCCUGGCCGAGCACUGACGCUCAGGCACGAAAGCGCGGGGAGCAAACAGG